rnacentral:rRNA from 1 species
GACGAACGCUGGCGGCAUGCCUAAUACAUGCAAGUAGAACGCCGUUGCGAACGGGUGAGUAACGCGUAGGUAACUGCCUCAUAGCGGGGGAUAACUAUUGGGAACGGUAGCUAAUACCCCCAACUUUGAGAUGGACCUGCGUUGUAUUUGCUAGUUGGUGCGGUAAAGGCUCACCAAGGCGACUAUACAUAGCCGGCCUGGGAGGGUGAUCGGCCCACACGGGACUUAGAAACGGCCCAGAAUUCUUAGGGGGGCAGCAGUAGGGAAUCUUCGGAAAUGGAGGGAAGGCCUAACGAGCAAAGGCGGGUGAGUGAAGAAGGGCUUCGGAUCGUAAAGCUAUGUUGUUAGAGAAGCGGUAACUAAACAGAAAGGGACGGCUAACUACGUGCCAGCAGCCGCGGUAAUAC